rnacentral:rRNA from 1 species
UUAAAUGGCUGCAGUAUAACUAACUGUACAAAGGUAGCAUAAUCAAUUGAUUUUUAAAUGAAAUCUGGAAUGAAAGGAUUAAUGAAAUAUAUACUGUCUCAUAUUUAUUUAAUGAAUUUAAAAUUUUAAUAAAAAUGUUAAAAUUUUUUUAUGGGACGAUAAGACCCUAUAGAAUUUUAUAUUACUUUAUUUUUGUAAUUAAAUAUAAAAUUUAAAUUAAUAUUUGAUUGGGAGAAUCAUUAAAUUUGAUAAAUUUUAAUAAAUAAAAACUUUAAUUAAAGAAAAUUUUUGAUCUUUAAUUUAAAAUUGUUAGAAUAAAUUACCUUAGGGAUAACAGCGUAAUAUUUUUUUAUAGAUCGUAUAGAAAAAAAUGGUUGCGACCUCGAUGUUGAAUUAAGAUAAAUUUUAAAUG